rnacentral:rRNA from 1 species
UUAAGCGACUAAGCGUACACGGUGGAUGCCCUGGCAGUCAGAGGCGAUGAAGGACGUGCUAAUCUGCGAAAAGCGUCGGUAAGGUGAUAUGAACCGUUACAGCCGGCGAUGUCCGAAUGGGGAAACCCAGUGCAAUUCGUUGCACUAUCGUUAACUGAAUACAUAGGUUAACGAGGCGAACCGGGGGAACUGAAACAUCUAAGUACCCCGAGGAAAAGAAAUCAACCGAGAUUCCCCCAGUAGCGGCGAGCGAACGGGGAGCAGCCCGGAGUCUGAAUCAGCUUGUGUGUUAGUGGAAGCGUCUGGAAAGUCGCAGGGUACAGGGUGAUACUCCCGUACACUAAAACACACAGGCUGUGAACUCGAAGAGUAGGGCGGGACACGUGGUAUCCUGUCUGAAUAUGGGGGGACCAUCCUCCAAGGCUAAAUACUCCUGACUGACCGAUAGUGAACCAGUACCGUGAGGGAAAGGCGAAAAGAACCCCGGCGAGGGGAGUGAAAAAGAACCUGAAACCGUGUACGUACAAGCAGUAGGAGCCCCACCACCAAAGCGUUUCGCUUUGCGUGGUGCGCAAAAUGCGUAACGACAGCAUGAUGGACGGUUAACGGAGCGUCAGCGACGUUCAACCUCAAAAAUCAGGCAGUGGAGCGUUUUGGGGUGGGGUGACUGCGUACCUUUUGUAUAAUGGGUCAGCGACUUAUAUUCUGUAGCAAGGUUAACCGAAUAGGGGAGCCGCAGGGAAACCGAGUCUUAACUGGGCGUUAAGUUGCAGGGUAUAGACCCGAAACCCGGUGAUCUAGCCAUGGGCAGGUUGAAGGUUGGGUAACACUAACUGGAGGACCGAACCGACUAAUGUUGAAAAAUUAGCGGAUGACUUGUGGCUGGGGGUGAAAGGCCAAUCAAACCGGGAGAUAGCUGGUUCUCCCCGAAAGCUAUUUAGGUAGCGCCUCGUGAAUUCAUCUUCGGGGGUAGAGCACUGUUUCGGCUAGGGGGUCAUCCCGACUUACCAACCCGAUGCAAACUACGAAUACCGAAGAAUGUUAUCACGGGAGACACACGGCGGGUGCUAACGUCCGUCGUGAAGAGGGAAACAACCCAGACCGCCAGCUAAGGUCCCAAAGUCAUGGUUAAGUGGGAAACGAUGUGGGAAGGCCCAGACAGCCAGGAUGUUGGCUUAGAAGCAGCCAUCAUUUAAAGAAAGCGUAAUAGCUCACUGGUCGAGUCGGCCUGCGCGGAAGAUGUAACGGGGCUAAACCAUGCACCGAAGCUGCGGCAGCGACACUAUGUGUUGUUGGGUAGGGGAGCGUUCUGUAAGCCGUUGAAGGUGGCCUGUGAGGGUUGCUGGAGGUAUCAGAAGUGCGAAUGCUGACAUAAGUAACGAUAAUGCGGGUGAAAAACCCGCACGCCGGAAGACCAAGGGUUCCUGUCCAACGUUAAUCGGGGCAGGGUGAGUCGACCCCUAAGGCGAGGCCGAAAGGCGUAGUCGAUGGGAAACAGGUUAAUAUUCCUGUACUUGGUGUUACUGCGAAGGGGGGACGGAGAAGGCUAUGUUGGCCGGGCGACGGUUGUCCCGGUUUAAGCAUGUAGGCGGAUGUUCCAGGUAAAUCCGGAACGUCACUAACGCUGAGGUGUGAUGACGAGGCACUACGGUGCUGAAGUGACAAAUGCCCUGCUUCCAGGAAAAGCCUCUAAGCAUCAGGUAACAUCAAAUCGUACCCCAAACCGACACAGGUGGUCAGGUAGAGAAUACCAAGGCGCUUGAGAGAACUCGGGUGAAGGAACUAGGCAAAAUGGUGCCGUAACUUCGGGAGAAGGCACGCUGAUGGUAGGUGAAGUGACUUGCUCAUGGAGCUGAAAUCAGUCGAAGAUACCAGCUGGCUGCAACUGUUUAUUAAAAACACAGCACUGUGCAAACACGAAAGUGGACGUAUACGGUGUGACGCCUGCCCGGUGCCGGAAGGUUAAUUGAUGGGGUUAUCCUCACGGAGAAGCUCUUGAUCGAAGCCCCGGUAAACGGCGGCCGUAACUAUAACGGUCCUAAGGUAGCGAAAUUCCUUGUCGGGUAAGUUCCGACCUGCACGAAUGGCGUAAUGAUGGCCAGGCUGUCUCCACCCGAGACUCAGUGAAAUUGAACUCGCUGUGAAGAUGCAGUGUACCCGCGGCAAGACGGAAAGACCCCGUGAACCUUUACUAUAGCUUGACACUGAACACUGGUCCUUGAUGUGUAGGAUAGGUGGGAGGCUUUGAAGUGUGGACGCCAGUCUGCAUGGAGCCAUCCUUGAAAUACCACCCUUUAAUGGCUGGUGUUCUAACGUGGGCCCGUGAUCCGGGUUGCGGACAGUGUCUGGUGGGUAGUUUGACUGGGGCGGUCUCCUCCUAAAGAGUAACGGAGGAGCACGAAGGUCAGCUAAUCCUGGUCGGACAUCAGGAGGUUAGUGCAAUGGCAUAAGCUGGCUUGACUGCGAGCGUGACGGCGCGAGCAGGUGCGAAAGCAGGUCAUAGUGAUCCGGUGGUUCUGAAUGGAAGGGCCAUCGCUCAACGGAUAAAAGGUACUCCGGGGAUAACAGGCUGAUACCGCCCAAGAGUUCAUAUCGACGGCGGUGUUUGGCACCUCGAUGUCGGCUCAUCACAUCCUGGGGCUGAAGUAGGUCCCAAGGGUAUGGCUGUUCGCCAUUUAAAGUGGUACGCGAGCUGGGUUUAGAACGUCGUGAGACAGUUCGGUCCCUAUCUGCCGUGGGCGCUGGAGAAUUGAGGGGGGCUGCUCCUAGUACGAGAGGACCGGAGUGGACGCAUCACUGGUGUUCGGGUUGUCAUGCCAAUGGCAUUGCCCGGUAGCUAAAUGCGGAAGAGAUAAGUGCUGAAAGCAUCUAAGCACGAAACUUGCCCCGAGAUGAGUUCUCCCUGACCCUUUAAGGGUCCUGAAGGAACGUUGAAGACGACGACGUUGAUAGGCCGGGUGUGUAAGCGCAGCGAUGCGUUGAGCUAACCGGUACUAAUGAACCGUGAGGCUUAACCUU